rnacentral:rRNA from 1 species
AACGAACGCUGGCAGCGUGGAUUAGGCAUGCAAGUCGAACGGGAUCCGGAAGGUAGCAAUACCGGCCGGUGAGAGUGGCGGAAGGGCGAGGAGCACGUGGACAACCUGUCCCGUGGGUGGGGAUACCGUCCCGAAAGGGGCGUUAAUACCGAAUGGGGCCCCGGACCGCAUGGUCCGGCGGCCAAAGGCGGGGACCGCAAGGCCCGCCCCCCGGGGAGGGGUCCGCGCACCAUCAGCUAGACGGCGGGGUAACGGCCCACCGUGGCUUACGGUUAGCUGGUCUGAGAGGACGACCAGCCGAACUGGGACUGAGACACGGCCCAGACUCCUACGGGAGGCUGCAGUCGAGGAUCAUUCGCAAUGGGCGAAAGCCUGACGAUGCGACGCUGCGUGGAGGAUGAAGGCCCUCGGGUCGUAAACUCCUGUCAUGGGGGGCGAGGCGGAGGCGGUUAACGGCCGCCCGAGUUGACGGUACCCCAAGAGGAAGCCACGGCUAACUCUGUG